CUGCAUAGGGUGUGACUAUCAGGAACCAUGGCUCACUGGAGCACCAUCUUUGGAGUCUAGCUAACACAGCAUCUUGGAUGCACUCCUAAGAGAAGACUACCUGAAAGGCGUGUACACUGGUCUAGCAGUUGAGAUCAGCUAGUGUUCCAUCUAUCUUCUGUCAUGUAUCUCUUCUAAGAUGUCUUGAUCGACUGACCCCAAAGCCAGAGGGUACCAGGUCAAAAAGCAAGAAAACAAACAAUACUGACAUUAGAGAGAAGCAAAGUUUCUAUAGAAAACCUAUUACACUGUGGUAUAAAUCAAGAUGAACCUGCAGACAUCUAUUUUAGUUUGGAAGUCUGGAAAAGUUCAAGAUUGGCCAUCUGCAGCUGGUGAGAGCCUCAGGCUGCUUCCCCUCAUGGUGGAAGGUGAAGGGGAGCUGGUGUGUGCAGAGAUUACAUGCUUUUCUAGGUCAUCAUUCUAGGCUUUGUUGAAGCAUGCAUUUUUGGCAUGAGGGUGGCAGCCUUUGCACUAUGUGCAUGGCUGAGGAGUUAGGAUCUGGAGGGUGAUGAAAGCAAAGGUGCUGCUGGUUACUCUUGGUUCAUCUAGCAAUAGAUGAUCUGAAUGUUAGAGUUCGCCAAAUAUUGUUCCUGGGCAGUCUUUGCUCUACCAAAUCAACUUUCUCCAUGGGGGAGCUAGAAGUCACCCCACAUUCUCCGCCAUGGCCAGCUCUACAUUCUAAGAGAACCAAUGGCUCUACCCAACAUAUUCUUCUCACCACAGAUGACAAAGACACAAGGAGCCAAGACAGAUCAUUCAAGCAUAUUCAUUGCCUCUAUCUUCAUCCCAUUAAAUAACAUCCCGCCAACCAAAGCAAGUUAUCUGCAUAAGAAUAAAUAUUCCACCUACUCUACUGCAAGGCCCUGCAAGAGUCAUGAGACAAAAGGAUCCUCUGUGGACAGCACCCAAGAUGGAAACAACUGACAGUCUAUGGCCAGGGCUAUACUCUGGUGAAACUGAAAGGUGUCUGCAUGGAAGUGUCUGACUACCACCAUCCACUCAGGCAAAUGCAUUUGUUUCCCUCUAUUCAUUAUUAGAAGAGAGGAGAUUACAUACCAGACAUAUACCAAUAGGUUUUCUCUUCAUAAUACCUACGUCAUCUAGUAGCAUAACAUAAGGCAGAAUCCUUCAAAGCAGAUCCACGUAAGACACUUGCAUCCAAGACAAGUCAGAAUGAUUACAUAUGAAAGUUUUAAUUGCAC
rnacentral:lncRNA from 1 species